AAUUUUUUUUUUAUUAAAUCUUAAUUAACAAGAGAACAUACUAUAAGAGUGUCUUGCGGAGCGCAGUGCCGUUACAUUCUGUGUUUUGAGCAGUGUGUAGAUGGAGAAACAGCUAGUAUUGUAAUGUUCCAUUGCAUGGAGCCGGAAGCAGAAGACGUUCUUUCACCGGAGCCUCAGCGUCGCUCCAUCUGCUCCAACUGCGACCGCCCCACGCGCGUCUGUCUCUGCCACGCGCUUCCUUUUCCUCCGAUUCAAACCGCCACUCGUAUCCUCAUCGUGCAACACCCUCACGAGGCUCGCCACAAGCUCUCCACCACCCCAAUCCUCAACAAGUCCCUCCUCCGCGCCUCCUCCGUCACCUCCCGCCGCCUCCGUCGCGGCCUCUCCCCAAUCCUCGACCGCUCUCCCCCCGCCCUCUACCUCUUCCCCUCCUCCGCCUCCUCCACAACCCCCGCCCUCCACAUCUCCGCCGUGCGCCCCUCCGCCGACCUCGUCCUCAUUGCCUUCGACGCCACGUGGCAGCACGCUCGCGAGAUGGUUCGGGCCAGCGAGAAUUUCCUCUCCGAGUUCGCCACUAGGGUUUGUCUGGACGUGGAUGAGAGUAUUGGCGGCGGAAGCAUUUAUGACUCCGAAUUGAUUUUGCGGAAGGAGCCUUUCGCCGGGUGCGUUAGCACAAUGGAGGCUGUGGCUCGGGCCUUGCGCGUGCUCGAGCCCAAUGGGCCCGAGAUUGAAGAGAAGCUGGUUGGGGUUUUGAGGGAGAUGGUGAGGUUGCAGGCUGGUUUCUUGAAGCCCGUGAAGCCCAGGCCGAAGUUGUUGAAGAAAAAGGCCGAGGGAAAGGAAAAGAAGGAGGGUUCUGUUCAAGUGAUAAGCUAAUGAAAUGAAGAGGAAUCUGGAUUCACGGGCUGUGCCUACUAAUGUUGCAGUUCGUGUCAUUUUGAGAUGAGCUGAUAAUUGAUAUUUAAAGCUCGGUUUCCAUGAAAGCUCCAGAAUAGCCCAACAAACUACAGAAGAAUUCAAAUAUGCGCAUUGGGGUCAUCAGAGGAUGACUGGAUCUUUAGUUCCAGAGACAUUACCAAUCCUUGGAAUUAGCCGCCAAAAUAUGGUAAUGGACUAAAAAUUGCCAGAGCCACCCAUUCCUAACACAUUUGACCCGUUCCCUUUUAGUGAAAAGUUGGAUCAUUACUGACAUGAUCUUGGGUUGAGUUGGAUAUGGUUUGCAGAAAAACAUCAUUGCGUGGGUUUGAACGUGGCAUACGAAAUGGGUUGAGUUGGAUUCACUUAGAUGAGUUACCAAGGUGCGUGUAUGGCUUAGGCUCAGGAAGUGAUGUGUGUUGAAUGAUGUCUUUGUUCUGGGUUUUUAUAAUGGUUGUAGAGCAACCAGCAUCUUACACCGUAGUCCUAACCGGGAAGGGAAGUAUAAUCUAAAUCAACAUCUGAAGGAAAGGAAUAAUGAAUACUUGAUACUAGUCGAAAAGGAGAUGCAGGUGCUUGUUUUGUGUCUCCAUUUUCCAAGUUUUGUAAAUAUUCAAAUCCCAAAGAUUUAGCAGCAAAGUCUAGAAUGUGAUUACCAUGCUAUACUUUUCCCAAGGAGAGGACUAAUUCGAGAGUAGAAUCGGGUAACGUGCAUGGCCACAUCUUCUAUUUUUUAAAUUAGAGUUAGUUACGAUAUAAAUUAACAUUUCAAUCAUCAUUUGCAUCUAUCUACUUAUCUAUAAUAUUAAAGCUCUUAUUAAAAUUCUCAAACCAGCUUUUCAACUUUUGUUUAUCACUUUUAUUUAUUCUUUCUUCAGUCUUCUCUUA